GCGUGCUAAUACAUGCAAGUUGAACGAUGAUUUCUGGUACUUGUAUCAGAAUGAAGAGUAGCGAACGGGUGAGUAACGCGUGGGUACCUACCUCUUAGCGGGGGACAACUAUUGGAAACGAUAGCUAAUACCGCAUAACAAUAUUAAACACAUGUUUAACAUUUGAAAGUACCAAUUGGUACACUAGGAGAUGGACCCGCGUUGUAUUAGCUAGUUGGUAGUGUAAUGGACUACCAAGGCGAUGAUACAUAGCCGACCUGAGAGGGUGAUCGGCCACAUUGGGACUGAGACACGGCCCAAACUCCUACGGAGGCAGCAGUAGGGAAUCUUCGGCAAUGGACGAAAGUCUGACCGAGCAACGCCGCGUGAGUGAAGAAGGUUUUCGGAUCGUAAAACUCUGUUGUUAGAGAAGAACGUUGUGUAGAGUGGAAAAUUACACAAGUGACGGUAUCUAACCAGAAAGGGACGGCUAACUACGUGCCAGCAGCCGCGGUAAUACGUAGGUCCCGAGCGUUGUCCGGAUUUAUUGGGCGUAAAGCGAGCGCAGGUGGUUUAAUAAGUCUGAUGUAAAAGGCAGUGGCUCAACCAUUGUGUGCAUUGGAAACUGUUAGACGUGAGUGCAGUAGAGGAGAGUGGAAUUCCAUGUGUAGCGGUGAAAUGCGUAGAUAUAUGGAGGAACACCGGUGGCGAAAGCGGCUCUCUGGACUGUAACUGACACUGAGGCUCGAAAGCGUGGGUAGCAAACAGGAUUAGAUACCCUGGUAGUCCACGCCGUAAACGAUGAGUGCUAGUUGUUUGGGGCUAUCCAGCCCUAAGUGACGCAGCAAACGCAUUAAGCACUCCGCCUGGGGAGUACGACCGCAAGGUUGAAACUCAAAGGAAUGACGG
rnacentral:rRNA from 1 species